AGUUUGAUCCUGGCUCAGGAUGAACGCUAGCUACAGGCUUAACACAUGCAAGUCGAGGGGCAGCAUCAUCAAAGCUUGCUUUGAUGGAUGGCGGCCGGCGCACGGGUGAGUAACACGUAUCCAACCUGCCGACAACACUGGGAUAGCCUUUCGAAAGAAAGAUUAAUACCGGAUGGCAUAAUUAUUCCGCAUGGGAUAAUUAUUAAAGAAUUUCGGUUGUCGAUGGGGAUGCGUUCCAUUAGGCAGUUGGCGGGGUAACGGCCCACCAAACCUACGAUGGAUAGGGGUUCUGAGAGGAAGGUCCCCCACAUUGGAACUGAGACACGGUCCAAACUCCUACGGGAGGCAGCAGUGAGGAAUAUUGGUCAAUGGACGAGAGUCUGAACCAGCCAAGUAGCGUGAAGGAUGACUGCCCUAUGGGUUGUAAACUUCUUUUAUACGGGAAUAAAGUGAGCCACGUGUGGCUUUUUGUAUGUACCGUAUGAAUAAGGAUCGGCUAACUCCGUGCCAGCAGCCGCGGUAAUACGGAGGAUCCGAGCGUUAUCCGGAUUUAUUGGGUUUAAAGGGAGCGUAGGCGGGUUGUUAAGUCAGUUGUGAAAGUUUGCGGCUCAACCGUAAAAUUGCAGUUGAUACUGGCGACCUUGAGUGCAACAGAGGUAGGCGGAAUUCGUGGUGUAGCGGUGAAAUGCUUAGAUAUCACGAAGAACUCCGAUUGCGAAGGCAGCUUACUGGAUUGUAACUGACGCUGAUGCUCGAAAGUGUGGGUAUCAAACAGGAUUAGAUACCCUGGUAGUCCACACAGUAAACGAUGAAUACUCGCUGUUGGCGAUAUACAGUCAGCGGCCAAGCGAAAGCAUUAAGUAUUCCACCUGGGGAGUACGCCGGCAACGGUGAAACUCAAAGGAAUUGACGGGGGCCCGCACAAGCGGAGGAACAUGUGGUUUAAUUCGAUGAUACGCGAGGAACCUUACCCGGGCUUAAAUUGCAACUGACGGAACCGGAAACGGUUCUUUCUUCGGACAGUUGUGAAGGUGCUGCAUGGUUGUCGUCAGCUCGUGCCGUGAGGUGUCGGCUUAAGUGCCAUAACGAGCGCAACCCUUACGGGUAGUUACCAUCAGGUUAUGCUGGGGACUCUACCCGGACUGCCGUCGUAAGAUGUGAGGAAGGUGGA
rnacentral:rRNA from 1 species